UAGUUCCUACGGGGCGCAGCAGUGGGGGAUAUUGCACAAUGGGGGGAACCCUGAUGCAGCGACGCCGCGUGGGUGAAGGAGCGUUUCGGCGCGUAAAGCCCUAUCGGCAGGGAAGAAGAUGGCGGUACCUGACCAAGAAGCCCCGGCUAACUACGUGCCAGCAGCCGCGGUAAUACGUAGGGGGCAAGCGUUAUCCGGAUUUAAUCGGUGUAAAGGGGGCGCAGAAGGCAAUGCAAGCCAGGAGUGAAAGCCAGGGGCCCAACCCCGG
rnacentral:rRNA from 1 species